CCACGUGCUUUCUGGGAACUCAGCCGGCACCGAGAAGCUGCUGCUUUGAGAGGAAAUCGAAAAGCGAAAGCAAUGCCGGCAGGCAGUGCGCAGGCGCGGGCCCGGGGGUUUCCCACAGCCUGUCCGCCCCGCCCCCCAUCUCUGCGCCGCGGACUGCGCAGACUCAGGACGAUGGAAAGCCUUGUCCUUGCGAUCCUUUGGAGCUGCUCCUCCACGUGUCCCCCCACCGUGAUGGACUCUUCCCUCCUUGCUAUUGUCCGGGAAUUGGUCACAGAGGCUCUGAGGCUACCACGAAGAUGAACUCUCAGAAAUGGGAUUGUCACCCUCGAUGAGUUUCCAGUUCCCUCUCUGUUGUAUGAUGACACAAGAAGGUGAAGUGUUGCCUCUCUACAACUGGAAGAGGGAGAACCUGCCCCUGCUGCCACCUGAUCUUGUACUUCAACUUUUGGAACCGUGAAGGAAAAGUUCCUGUUGCAGGAGCCUUAUAGUGCACAGUACUUUUAGAGCAGUCUAAACUAAAUUGCAAUUAAAAGGAGAAAAAUGUGGUGAAAGAGUUUGGUAGAAAUAUGACCUAUUCCAUUCCAUUGUGCUUGUAGCUCAUGUGGCCAGUUUUUACAAUGAACUUAACAGGUAUCUGCAGGUCACCUCUGGCCAAAUCCUGUCACCUGGAAAAAAAACAAUCUCUGGAGUACAAGAUUCACUUGAGAAGUAUCUUGAAACUCUAGAGUCCUGGAUUUGUGGACUAGUGGUUAAGGGUAUAUACUGUGCUCGCAGAAGACCAUAGUUUGGUUCCUAGAACCCACAUCAGGUGGCUUACAACUGCCUGUGACUCCAGCUUCAGGAAGAACCAAUGCCCCUGGCAUCUGAGGGUACAUGCCCUUCUGUGCACAUUCCCACCCUACACAUGAUUGAAAAUAAUAAAAAUUAAGCCUAAAAAAUAACUAACUUUGAUUUUGCUAGAUUAAAUUAAAACAAAAACUGAACUCAUAUGGUAACUCCUGCCUCUGUGAAAGAAAGCAAACCACCAGCUUCCGUGUACUCUCUGGUCUAGCACAAACAGCACCUAAUCGCUGUCAGCACACAGGGAGCCUUGGCAUUUGUCAGCAUGCUCUAUUUUGAGAACUUUCUAGGAAUGACCCUGGAUCCUUUUCCUACUGAGAGAGCCAUCCCAGGAGCUAUGAGCAUAACAGACGUGAUGAGCUCUGCCCGACGAUCUGGAGGUUUCACGAUUCAUCUCUGCAGCCCUGUGAAUCACCGAUGAUCAUGCCCCAUCAUUCCCCUAUCUUACAUCUACUUUGAAGAUUCUUAUCUGGGUUUCCUGCUAAAUCUUCCCAUGGCUUUGAGUAAUUCAGGCACGAUUACGUAUUGUUGACCCACCCUGAAAUGUUAACAUAGCUUUCUGAGCCAAAGUCAUAAAUAACACCUAAGAAAUAAAACCAGAAACAAAUGUUUUCAAAGGAGUCCUCUGUUAUAUUGUUACCAACACUGGUUUCUUAAAGCUGUCUUUUCUUGCAGGUUUUUUAGCAUUUUAGUCACAGCGCUCCUUGCUGGGAGUGGCACCAAGUGAGAAGAGAGCUUCCAACUUCCUACCAUUUUCUAGAAACUGGUAUUUACAAAGCCGAAGAAAUAAAUUGUGAUCUAUGGU